AAACCCCCAAAACUCAACCCCCUCAAAAUCAGCCAAAAAGGUUGGCUGAUUAUGAUUGGUGGAGAGUGGUUCUCAUGGUUCUUACAACUGGAGAUUUCAUGCAUGUCACUUAAAUCAUGCAAUUUCACCCAUUUUAUGUAUUUCAAGAAAUUAGUUGAAAGCUUUGCGGGUUUUUGCUUCAAGAAGUCAUGCGUCCUCACUCCAUGCCACUUUUGUAGAAUUUUUAAUCAUAUCCCGCCUCCUCGCGGUGACAUGAGGAAUAAAUCCUUUAUCUUUUAGAAUUUGGAAUGUGUUGCAAACUUUUAAAACUUGUUUUAUUUUGAAGUGAUGUAAACACUUUAUUUAACUUAUGUUUGAAACUUGAAACUAUGAAUGGAAUUUGGAGUUUAUUUUAAGAGUAAA